rnacentral:lncRNA from 1 species
UGUAACAGGUAUAGGCAGCGACGAACCAGAGCGCCGUCUGCGCAGGCCGAGCGGACACGUGCUCAAGGACGGCAUCGUUGUGUACCGAGAACGAACCACCAGCCGAGAGAGCAUAUCGCGCAGCAGUAGCGCUCACGCGUCUCGAGAAGGCUCGCCCAGAGCGCGCUCAGAAGAUAUUCCUCUAGAAGACAUAAGAAGGAACCCUGGCAUAGCCGCCGCUGUACCUUCCACCAGCAGUUCAAGUAGGGUUCCACAGGUAACGCCAAGUACGUCACAGCAUCCAAAACUAAAGAGUACAUCAUCUGAAGAAACAUCUUUCAUAUCGAGCGAACCGCGAGUGAAAAGAAAAGGCAUCGUCGAAACGAUAUGAUACUAGUAUCAGUAUUAAAACAGUGGUAUAAAAUUAUUGCAGCAUUAUUACGUGCUGCGUGCCUUGUUAGGGUUCCGUAAACGAAGGGUAAAACGGGACUCUAUUACUAAGAGUCCGCUGUCUGUCCUUACGUCUGUCACCAGGUUUUAUUUAUUGAACUGUGAUAUACAUUAUACAGUUGAAAUGUUUACAGAUGUAUUUCUGUUGCCGCUAUAAUAACAAACACUAAAAACCAGAAUAAAAUAAAAAUUAAAGGGGGCUCCCAUACAACACACGUGAUUUUUUUAGAUAAUGGUACGGAACCCUUCGUGCGUGAGUAGAACUCACACUUGGCCGGUUUUUUUUAUAGCUUAGAAGUGCUGUAGGGUUUGGCAGAGGUAAACUAUUGAGUAGCGGGCAGAGCAUUCGUCAUUCAUUCAUUCGUUCAUUAAUGAAUUAUCAUACAGGGGUUGCCGUACAGGGGGUAUGACGACAGAAGGGACAAAUAGCGGGUAGAUCACUCAUUCAUUCAUUCAUUCUUAACAUAGCUGAGUCUUUGUCUACGCCGUACAGGGGGUAUGACGACAGAGGGAACAAGUGAAUAGCGGGUAGAGCACUCAUUCAUUCAUUCAUUAAAGAAUUAACAUAGCUGAGUCUUUGUCUACGCAGUACAGGGGGUAUGAUGACAGAAGGAACAAGUGAAUAGCGGGUAGAUCACUCAUUCAUUCAUUCAUUCAUUCAUUAAAGAAUUAACAUAGCUGAGUCUUUGUCUACGCAGUACAGGGGGUAUGACGAUAGAGCGAACAAGUGAAUAGCGGGUAGAGCACUCAUUCAUUCAUUCAUUAAAGAAUUAACAUAGCUGAGUCUUUGUCUAUGUCGUACAGGGGGUAUGACGACAGAGGGAACACGUGAAUAGCGGGUAGAGCACUCACUCAUUCAUUCAUUAGUGAAUUAACAUAGUAAUUUUUCAGCACAUGGUAUGACUAAAUUGCACUGGAGGCAAGGUUUGUUGUAUUUUGAUGAAAAAUCAAUAUAACUUGAAAACCGUAAAAUUUCGGCCAUCAUAUAUUUCGUUAUUUUAGUAGGCCUUGAUGUCA